ensembl:lncRNA
AAUUAGCUAUGCUAGAGAUGAAGUAUAAUACUGACCUGGAUGACGAUCAGUUAUCUCAAGAUCCAGAUGAUGUCAUGUGCCCAUGACCUAUGUGGCAGAAAUUUGUAUGGAGUCCACCAUCAUCACAUGCCAACACACUGGCAAAAAUGACCUGCAUAGCUGAAGAAAAACUAGCAGUGAAUGAACAAUAUAGCCUACCUCAACAAUAUGAAGAAACACUUCUCCUCCCUAUUGGCUUGUCUCAGCUGUGAAGAACCUGUUCUGGGAGUUCCAGAAUUCAAAGACUAGGCACUUGUACAUACCAAUAUCUCAGCUACUAGAGGUAAUCAUUCCUCUGCUUGAGAAAGGGGACAAUUGGGUACACACCAUAUGCCAUCCUGUGGUUUUACCUAUGUAACCAUGAUACGAUAAAGUAGGAUAGAAAACCCUUCUCAACCCUAGAGGCACAGGUACAUAAGUUGCAGGAAAAAACAACUGGAAAAGGGAGUACUUCAAGAAAAAUGAUCCCUUCAGUUUCCAGUGAGCAGUCUCCCAGACUAAGUAGAUGAUUUGAUACUAUUUCUGAGAUUGAAAAUUGGACUUUUGGUUUCUGUUCUUGAGAAGAUAAUGACAAAUAUAGUGACCAGUUCCAGAGGGGGCCCUGCAUUCAGCCAUGUGGAGGAAAGGCAAAAUCAGAUUUAUUGGACUAUGACAUCAGAGCCACAGGAGUAUAACACUCUGGUGGAAACUGGUGAAAGAGUGUAUUCUGGUCCCAUUAAGCUCUAAAGGGGCAGAACACAUCUGUAUUUCUGGAGUACCAGGGAAUCUCAAGCACUAACAUUAUUGGAGGCCAAAGUGGAAAUGAGUGGCAAAAGUACUCUACUGCAAUUGGCCUAGAGGUUCCACGCAUCUUGAGUACAGAUUACCUCAGGAAAGGGCACUUCAGGGACCCAACGGGGUACUGGUAGGCUCUUGGUAUAGAUGUCUUGGAGAACAUUAAGUAGCUGUUUAUCUUGCUCAGUCCCUCCUGUUGUGGGGUUGCUAAACAUAAAAGAACAGCAUGUGCCAAUUGCUACAACUGUGCACCAUUGGCUUUCUUGCAAGGCAUGCUUGUACUUCAGUAUGAACUGGAGUCAAAGGCAACCAAGUGGUAUGCUACAACUGAUAGUGUCAAUGGAUUUUUCUCAAUCUCUUUGGCAGCAUAGUGCAGGCCAAAGUUUGCAUUGAAACAGGGAGAAGCUCCUGAACACCUGCAAUACACUGAUACAUCAUGUGGGGCAACACAGCAGAGGAAGUUUUUGAGAACAGGAAGAAAAUAAUACAAACAGUUCUGAAAGCCAGUUUUUGCCAUAAAGCAAAGUAAGAUUAAGAAGCCUGCACAGGGAAUUCAAUUCUGAGGAAUAAAAUGGAUGGAUGCCAUCAGAUCCCCAUGGAUGUGAUCAACAAAAUGAUAUAGGCUACAUAGGUCAGUCUAAAAUAAUGCCUCCUGUGUAUUUACAUGGAAACUACAACAGAUGCAAAGAGCACAAUAACCCUACUGAAUAGAGCACAUUCUCUCUCUACAAAAACUACUUUUCAACAUGAUCACCACCGUUAUCUACGUGAAUUCAGGUGAAUUAUGGUUGAUGCCCUCUCCCUGGAGACUUUCAAGGUGAGGCUGGAUCAGGCCUUGGACAACUUGGUUCAGCUGAGCAUAUCCCUGCUCACUGAAGGGGAGUUGGUCUAGAUGACCUUUAAAGUUCCCUUCCAACUCUAAGGUUUCUAUGAUUCUCUGUUGUCAGGCUGCUCCUCUGCUGCCGUGUCACAUAGCAACAAAAUUUAAUGGAAUACUGUCUUAAAUAUUCAACCUCUACUGCCAUACUACCAACAUCUGCCUCUGACAUUGUAGACCAAUAUAAUAAAAUAGAAGAUAUUACUUUUGAAGCAAUCCUGGUAUGUCCUUAUCAACUAGCAAAAAGGAAACACAAGCUUUCUUAGGUGUCACAGGGUUUUGGACAAUGCAUAUUCUGAAUUACAGUCUGAUUGUAAACCCUCUAUAUCAAGUGACCAAGAAGAAGAACAAUUUCAGAUGGGGUCCUGAGGAAGAAGACUUCUAACAAAUUAAACAGGAAAUAAUUUGUGCGUUACCAUGAAAUACUUGGACCAGUGGAAGCAGUACAAAAUGCUACAGAUAUGCUCUACGCUGCAGCUAGGGAGAAUGGUCCUACCCAGAGGACCACUGGAUUGACAAUACAUGAAGGAGCUUGAGCUGCUUUGGAAGCGGUUGAUACUGAAGCACCAGCUCCUCUUAUCACUCUGACUGCCUGUGCUGGGUUGAAUGUUCAAAGGGAGGGUCCUCUCUACACAUUAUGCAGCUCAUGCUACAUGGAAUAAGUGGAUUGCACUGAUCACACAACGACUUUGAGUCUUGUAGUCCAAGAAUCUUGGAAAUGAUUGUGGGAUAACUCAAAAGCAAAGAUUUUGUAAUGUCAUCAGAAGAGGAGGUGAUGCAUGUUGAAGAGAUCCCAAUGCAAAAUAAGUUACCAGAGAAUGAGAAGCAAUAUGCUUUGUUCACUGACAGGUCCUCUUCUAUUGUAUGAAAACACUGGAGGAGGAAGGCAGUUGUGUGGAGCCCUGCACAACAAAUUGCAGACAUUUCUGAAAAAGAAAGUGAAUCGAGACAAUUUGCAGAAGUGAAGGUCAUCCAGCUGGCUUUAGAUGUUGCUGAAAGAGAGAGUGACUAGUACUGUACCUAUGCACUGGCUCUUGGAUGGUGACAUAUGCUCCUUGAGGGUGGUUACUACAAUGUAAGCAGAACAACCGGUAACUCAGAGGCAAGCUCAUCUGGGUUGUUGCAUUGUGGAAAGAUAUUACUGCACAGAUAAGGAACAUGGAUGUAAAAGUACAUCACAUAUAUGUCCACAAACCCGACAGUCAUUUCACGGAGAAACAUCGAAACAACAAGCAGAUGGCCAUUAGGAUCGAAGUGGCUCAGUACGAAGGCAGUAUCCUGCUGGAGACAGCACCUCCAGAAGAAGAGAAAAACAAAAUCAAGUAAACUGCGUGAUGACCAUGUGAUAAUGACCCCAACUGGAGGAAAAGUACAUGGCUAGGAAUCACUCAUGACUCUGAUUGGAUAAGCAGCUGCAUACACAGUUAAGGAGUGUUUGUGGAAUUAUUUGUUGACAUGUAAAGGUGGGUGAGAAAGUAAAAAGAGAAAACUUGUGAAUGCAUAUAAGGGAUGUUAGAACCUGUAAGAAGUGAUUUGGAUCAUUCACAUCUGCAUUCAUGCCACAGAUGCUGUAAAGUUUGACUUCAGUUAUAUAUCUUUUCCUGCUUGGUAAACUAAAUGAAAUUAGAUGCAUGUAAUUGUUGCUUCCUGAUUCAAUUGGAGAACGAGUAAAUGCUAUUAAAGUCCACCCACAAAAGUUCUCAUUUGAAUUUGAAAUGAGCUGUUCUACAUGGAACAAUGAGCUAAGUUCUUCUACUGUUCUUCCACUGAUUGGUCUUACAUAUGUUCAGUUGAACAUAUUCCUUCUCCAAACUCACACUUCAGUUCAGAACACACUGAUUCAAGGAACUGUGUCAACUUAACAAACACACAAUGCCUUUAAUUUUCC